rnacentral:rRNA from 1 species
UUCCAGCUCCAAUAGCGUAUAUUAAAGUUGUUGCAGUUAAAAAGCUCGUAGUUGGAUUUCUGUGAGAGUGCCGGUGUCGGCUGAUGCUUGUACGCAGGCGCUCUUACAUCCUUCUGUUAACUGUUCUUGGCAUUUUAUUGCUGGUUCAGGGCUCAGAUAUUUUACCUUGAGGAAAUUAGAGUGUUUCAGGCAGGCUUAUGCCGGAAUACAUUAGCAUGGAAUAAUGGAACAGGACCUGUGCGUCUCUCGGGGCGCCGGUCUCCGUUGUUGGUUUCGGGGACUAAUGUAAUGAUUAAUAGGGAUAGUUGGGGGCAUUAGUAUUUAAUAGUCAGAGGUGAAAUUCUCGGAUUUGUUAAAGACUAACUUAUGCGAAAGCAUUUGCCAAGGAUGUUUUCAUUA